UGGUGAAGUGAUUUGUCUGGUUGAUUCCGUUAACGAACGAGAUCUUGACCAUUAAAUAGGCCGCAGUGUCGAAGUAGUUCGUUUGGUGCUCCUUCGGGAAACUACCUUCGAGCGAGACAGCUGCGUCUUAAGCUUCUUAUUGGGACUGUGCGCGUCUAUAGCGCGCGGAAGUGCAAGCCAAUAGCA
rnacentral:rRNA from 1 species